AAGGAUCAUUAUUGAGUACUACUUGAUGGGUUGUAGCUGGCUCUUUGGAGCAUGUGCACGCCUGUCUUGAUCUUAUUCAUCCACCUGUGCAUCAUUUGUAGUCUCUGAGGGCUGGGAUUAGCAGUUGACUCAUCAGUUGAAAGACUGGACAAGAGGAUUGCAGGCAUGCAAGUGCUGCUCUCUUCAGCAACAACAUGCUGUGACCUUCCUUGGAGUCUAUGUUUCUUUAUAAACCAUAUUGUAUGUUGGAGAAUGUAAUCAAUAGGCCUUUGUGUCUAUAGAAUCUUAUACAACUUUCAGCAACGGAUCUCUUGGCUCUCGCAUCGAUGAAGAACGCAGCGAAAUGCGAUAAGUAAUGUGAAUUGCAGAAUUCAGUGAAUCAUCGAAUCUUUGAACGCACCUUGCGCUCCUUGGUAUUCCGAGGAGCAUGCCUGUUUGAGUGUCAGUAAAUUCUCAAUCCUUUCUAGCUUUUGCAGUUGGGACUUGGAUAGUGGAGGUAUUUGCAGGCCCUUUCGAGGUGCCAGCUCCUCUGAAAUGCAUUAGCGGAACCGUUUGCAGUCCGUCACAGGUGUGAUAAUUAUCUACACCCAGUGGAUUGCUCUCUGAAAGUUCAGCUUCCAACUGUCCUCUUUGUGGGACAACAACUGAAAUUUUGACCUCAAAUCAGGUAGGACUACCCGCUGAACUUAA
rnacentral:rRNA from 1 species